UUGUGCCUCACUUUCUGAACAUUGAUUUUGUAUCUAGCUUUACAUUCAAUGAAGUUCGAACUCAUAGUGAGGCCUAGAUGAACGUUCUCCUCGCUAUCCAGAGUUUCAUUUAACAUGAUCCAUUUGGACGUCGGAGAACUACAUUC
rfam:Cucumis sativus cultivar 9930 chromosome 1, whole genome shotgun sequence.